rnacentral:rRNA from 1 species
GAUGAACGCUGGCGGCGUGCCUAAUACAUGCAAGUCGAGCGAACGGACGAGAAGCUUGCUUCUCUGAUGUUAGCGGCGGACGGGUGAGUAACACGUGGAUAACCUACCUAUAAGACUGGGAUAACUUCGGGAAACCGGAGCUAAUACCGGAUAAUAUUUUGAACCGCAUGGUUCAAAAGUAAAAGACGGUCUUGCUGUCACUUAUAGAUGGAUCCGCGCUGCAUUAGCUAGUUGGUAAGGUAACGGCUUACCAAGGCAACGAUGCAUAGCCGACCUGAGAGGGUGAUCGGCCACACUGGAACUGAGACACGGUCCAGACCCCUACGGGAGGCAGCAGUAGGGAAUCUUCCGCAAUGGGCGAAAGCCUGACGGAGCAACGCCGCGUGAGUGAUGAAGGUCUUCGGAUCGUAAAACUCUGUUAUUAGGGAAGAACAUAUGUGUAAGUAACUGUGCACAUCUUGACGGUACCUAAUCAGAAAGCCACGGCUAACUACGUG